CCGGCUUUCUCAGUCUUCGGAGGACCCGGCCUUCGUGGUCUAUGUGGGCUGGGCCCUGAAUUGAAACACAGUCGGAGUCUGCGCAGUAGUGACUUGGGGUGGAGCAUCUGCAUCACGCUCCUGCCCACACACACCCCUACACUUUUUACGUAGACCGGCUGCUCCAGUUUAUCUGCUGAUGGGUUUACCACGACUGAUGACUUGUUAAAUUAAGCUACAUUCACCCUGUGGAGAAACUAGUAAAGAAGACCAUCAGGACCAAGCUGGGUUUCCUGGGUCCAGAGGUUUAGAGAAACUUCCUCCUAUUCUUUCAUCACAUCUGUCCUGUGCCAGAAGUUCUGUUGACCCACUGAGAGAGGCUUCAUUUAAGAAACACCAGGAAGACUAAAGCUUAUUGCAGGGAUCAAGGAGGACUCAUGAUCUUCACCAGCAGCUCCCUCACAGGGAAAUCUUCAGAGCUCCACCAUAAGCCCCCGCCUCAGAAGAUGGAUAAACCCAGCAUUUCAUGAACACUGUGAUGGAGACUUGCUUUGUCUAAUGUUAGAAGUAUUCAGAUCAUUCUCAGAGGUACUGGACUUUUACACAAAGAUAUUAUAUUCAGUCCUGUAGAAAGUUAUAUAUUUAAAAAUAAAUUAUCCUCUCUGGUUAA